CCUACGGGGGGCAGCAGUGGGGAAUAUUGCGCAAUGGGCGAAAGCCUGACGCAGCGACGCCGCGUGAGGGAUGAAGGUCUUCGGAUCGUAAACCUCUGUCAGCAGGGAAGAACGGUCACUGUGCUAAUCAGCAGUGAAUUGACGGUACCUGCAAAGGAAGCACCGGCUAACUCCGUGCCAGCAGCCGCGGUAAUACGGAGGGUGCGAGCGUUAAUCGGAAUUACUGGGCGUAAAGCGCUCGUAGGCGGUAUGUCAAGUCAAGGGUGAAAUCCCCGCGCUCAACGUGGGAACUGCAUUUGAAACUGGCAAACUGGAGUGUGGGAGAGGAUAGUGGAAUUCCAGGUGUAGGAGUGAAAUGCGUAGAUAUCUGGAGGAACAUCAGUGGCGAAGGCGACUAUCUGGCACAUAACUGACGCUGAGGAGCGAAAGCGUGGGUAGCAAACAGGAUUAGAUACCCUUGUAGUC
rnacentral:rRNA from 1 species